AGUUGAAGGUUUGUCAGUCAAAAUUAAUGUUUGUUACACAUGUGUAUGAGGUGAUUUUGAAUAAGUGUGUCACUUUAACAAGUUACUAAAUAAUGCUUACACGGAAAAUAUCAAUUACUGAUAACAAGAUUGUAACAGUGUAUUUAAUAGCUGAAAAUAAACCUUGUGGAUCCUAAAAAGAUUUUCGGAGAUCAACGACCGUCUCCGUAAAAGCGUUCAGCACCAUGAAGACCCAUAUGAUUGCGGCCGUCCUGGCGGUGUGUAUCCUUCUAGCGGCCCUUUCGCCCACGGCGGAAGCUCAGAUGUUUGGUUAUGGAGGCGGAAGAAGACGAUGGGGACGCCGUUGGGGAAGAAGGUACUUUGGCUGGCCCAGAUAUGGCUAUCGACGUUACAGUUGGGGAUAUCCGUGGAGAUAUCCGUGGUAUAGACGAUACUACUAUUACUAAAUAAUGGAAAGAAACUAUGUUGUCGUUGAGGCCUCUUUUUCUAAAUAAUGGAAAGAAACUAUGUUGUCGUUUCUACUGUCAUAUAUAAACACUUGAAUCAAAAUAAACGAAUGGCUGACAAUG